CAGCCGCCGCGGGAAUACGAAGGGGGCUAGCGUUGCUCGGAAUGACUGGGCGUAAAGGGCGCGUAGGCGGAUUGUACAGUCAGGCGUGAAAUUCCUGGGCUUAACCUGGGGGCUGCGUUUGAUACGUAUAGUCUAGAGUGGGGAAGAGGGUCGUGGAAUUCCCAGUGUAGAGGUGAAAUUCGUAGAUAUUGGGAAGAACACCGGUGGCGAAGGCGGCGACCUGGUCUUUUACUGACGCUGAGGCGCGAAAGCGUGGGGAGCAAACAGGAUUAGAUACCCGAGUAGUCCCUGUCUCUUAUAC
rnacentral:rRNA from 1 species